GAAAUUUGUGCCCCAAAAAAA
ensembl:piRNA 21ur-4742 ncRNA